rnacentral:rRNA from 1 species
CCUACGGGAGGCAGCAGUGGGGAAUAUUGGACAAUGGGCGGAAGCCUGAUCCAGCAAUACCGCGUGUGUGAAGAAGGCCUGAGGGUUGUAAAGCACUUUCAAUAGGAAGGAAUACCUAUCCAUUAAUACUGGGUAGACUGACAUUACCUAUACAAGAAGCACCGGCUAACUCCGUGCCAGCAGCCGCGGUAAUACGGAGGGUGCAAGCGUUGAUCGGAAUUGCUGGGCGUAAACCGGGCGUAGGCGAUGUGAAAGCCCUGGGCUUAACCUGGGAAUGGCAUGUGAUACUGGCGAGCUAGAGUUGAGUAGAGGGGAGUGGAAUUUCAGGUGUAGCGGUGAAAUGCGUAGAGAUCUGAAGGAACACCAGUGGCGAAGGCGACUCCCUGGACUCAAACUGACGCUGAGGUACGAAAGCGUGGGUAGCAAACAGGAUUAGAUACCCUAGUAGUC